rnacentral:lncRNA from 1 species
GUCAGCAAUCGCCCGAAUUGGUUGCUCUGUUUCGCGCCCGGUCGGAGUGAUUCCCUCAUGGUUUCAAGUGAUUUUCCUCUCAUUUAAAGUUUUAAGACUCUUAAAACUCUUUUAACAUGUCUCGUUACCUCGUCUGUUAUGCGUGAACUCUUCGUUGUGUGUAAAACUGAUCGCGUGAAGUAAUUAAUCUCUCGAAUUGAGUCCUUCUUUUUCUCGAAGUAACUCGCGGCCGGCGUUUGAGCAAAUUGAAUGAGGGUACGGAUCCUCACAGUUUCCAUCGAUUUUCGUCGUUUCAUAUCGUUUUGUUGUUUUCGGUGUUAAUUUUCGCAGUACGUGUCUUUUGGUACCUCGUGUGUUCCGCGAAAACUUUUCGGCGAUGUAUGAAAACGAUCAUGUGUGUUGUGUUCGGUAAAUUGUCUCUUGAGUUGCACGACGGCCGCCGCAAAUAUUCCUUCUGUUUCACAAAAUUUAUCAACUCAUGUCCGGCGUUUGAGUGAAUCGAAUGCAGGUAUUUGCUACUCGAAAUUUUCACCGAAUUUUAUUUCCAUUGUUUCGGGUGAACCUAUGUGAACUUCUCCAUAAUACCAUGAUUUUCGCGCGGUAUUUUCUGCACUGCUUAGUGACUUUGUCGAGCAGCAUUUCGGGACUCCGAGUGAUGUGACGUUCGUUCCGGUUUCUUGUGUCGGUUGUGCGUGUGAGUAUUUCCUAGCAUUUUUUCGGCCUCGCGUAUGAAGUGUGUCUGCGUCUAUUUCUCAAUCCAAUAUGAUUAAUUUCAUUAAUUAUUGCUACCCACCAUUUGAUGGAGUCGGAUAUCUGGUCAUAGCUUCCUUUGGUGCGUGUAUAUUUUGGCGUUGGUCUGGAUUCAGUAUCCAUCCUAAAAACCUUUUGGUAGCCAAUUUUUCAGUGCGCAGUGCGGUUUCAGUGAUGGUAUCGUGUCGUGAGUGCUUUCAGCUUGGCGUCGGGCUAUUGGAUAACUCUCAUCUGCUCGCUCGGUGAAGGCUCACUACGUCCUUCGAAAUUGGUAAGUCACCUUUUAAAGCUCAUAUCAUCUUUCUCCCAUCUAAAAGCGUAUUUUUUGUUGAAUUGCAAAUAUUUGUUACCAACGGUGUUUCGACUCGCAUGGAUUUCAGUUUCUUUUUGGCCGAGUGGGAAGUUUAUUUAUAAUUAAAUUAUCGGCGGAGGAUAUGCUUCUCGGUAGGUCGCUUCUGGGCAGGGGGGGGGGGGGGGGCGCUCGCCGCCUAAAAAUCCGACCCCCGUCGUCCCCUCUCCCCCCCCCCUACGCGAACUAACGAGAAGCAC